AGGGUUUGAUUCUGGCUCAGGACGAACGCUGGCGGCGUGCUUAACACAUGCAAGUCGAACGGAGCACCCUUGACUGAGGUUUCGGCCAAAUGAUAGGAAUGCUUAGUGGCGGACUGGUGAGUAACGCGUGAGGAACCUGCCUUCCAGAGGGGGACAACAGUUGGAAACGACUGCUAAUACCGCAUGACGCAUGACCGGGGCAUCCCGGGCAUGUCAAAGAUUUUAUCGCUGGAAGAUGGCCUCGCGUCUGAUUAGCUAGAUGGUGGGGUAACGGCCCACCAUGGCGACGAUCAGUAGCCGGACUGAGAGGUUGACCGGCCACAUUGGGACUGAGAUACGGCCCAG
rnacentral:rRNA from 1 species